rnacentral:rRNA from 1 species
GAUGAACGCUGGCGGCGUGCCUAAUACAUGCGAGUCGAGCGAACAGAUAAGGAGCUUGCUCCUUUGACGUUAGCGGCGGACGGGUGAGUAACACGUGGAUAACCUACCUAUAAGACUGGGAUAACUUCGGGAAACCGGAGCUAAUACCGGAUAACAUAUUGAACCGCAUGGUUCAAUAGUGAAAGGCGGCUUUGCUGUCACUUAUAGAUGGAUCCGCGCCGUAUUAGCUAGUUGGUAAGGUAACGGCUUACCAAGGCAACGAUACGUAGCCGACCUGAGAGGGGGAUCGGCCACACUGGAACUGAGACACGGUCCAGACUCCUACGGGAGGCAGCAGUAGGGAAUCUUCCGCAAUGGGCGAAAGCCUGACGGAGCAACGCCGCGUGAGUGAUGAAGGUCUUCGGAUCGUAAAACUCUGUUAUCAGGGAAGAACAAAUGUGUAAGUAACUGUGCACAUCUUGACGGUACCUGAUCAGAAAGCCACGGCUAACUACGUG